CCUACGGGAGGCAGCAGUGAGGAAUAUUGGUCAAUGGCCGUAAGGCUGAACCAGCCAAGUAGCGUGAGGGAAGACUGCCCUAUGUGUUGUAAACCUCUUUUAUGCGGGGAUAAAGGUGUCCACGUGUGGAUGUUUGCAGGUACCGCAUGAAUCCGGACCGGCUAAUUCCGUGCCAGCAGCCGCGGUAAUACGGAAGGUCCGGGCGUUAUCCGGAUGUAUUGGGUUUAAAGGGAGCGUAGGCCGGUCUUUAAGCGUGCCGGGAAAUUUUGUGGCUCAACCAUGAGCGUGCGGCGCGAACUGGAGACCUUGAGUGCGCGGAAGGCAGGCGGAAUUCGUGGUGUAGCGGUGAAAUGCUUAGAUAUCACGAAGAACCCCGAUGGCGAAGGCAGCCUGCCGCAGCGUUACUGACGCUGAAGCUCGAAAGCGUGGGUAGCGAACAGGAUUAGAUACCCUUGUAGUC
rnacentral:rRNA from 1 species